rnacentral:tRNA from 1 species
CGGCGAGGCCUGAUUCGGGUACAUGACUCUGGAUCAGGAGAUCGAAGGUUCGAAUCCUUCCUCGCCAGCCA